GAUGAACGCUGGCGGCGUGCCUAAUACAUGCAAGUCGAGCGAACGGACGAGAAGCUUGCUUCUCUGAUGUUAGCGGCGGACGGGUGAGUAACACGUGGAUAACCUACCUAUAAGACUGGGAUAACUUCGGGAAUCCGGAGCUAAUACCGGAUGAUAUUUUGAACCGCAUGGUUCAAAAGUGAAAGACGGUCUUGCUGUCACUUAUAGAUGGAUCCGCGCUGCAUUAGCUAGUUGGUAAGGUAACGGCUUACCAAGGCAACGAUGCAUAGCCGACCUGAGAGGGUGAUCGGCCACACUGGAACUGAGACACGGUCCAGACUCCUACGGGAGGCAGCAGUAGGGAAUCUUCCGCAAUGGGCGAAAGCCUGACGGAGCAACGCCGCGUGAGUGAUGAAGGUCUUCGGAUCGUAAAACUCUGUUAUUAGGGAAGAACAUAUGUGUAAGUAACUGUGCACAUCUUGACGGUACCUAAUCAGAAAGCCACGGCUAACUACGUG
rnacentral:rRNA from 1 species